UGGGGAAUAUUGGACAAUGGGCGAAAGCCUGAUCCAGCCAUGCCGCGUGUGUGAAGAAGGUCUUCGGAUUGUAAAGCACUUUAAGUUGGGAGGAAGGGCAGUAAGCGAAUACCUUGCUGCUUUGACGUUACCGACAGAAUAAGCACCGGCUAACUCUGUGCCAGCAGCCGCGGUAAUACAGAGGGUGCAAGCGUUAAUCGGAAUUACUGGGCGUAAAGCGCGCGUAGGUGGUUCGUUAAGUUGAAUGUGAAAGCCCCGGGCUCAACCUGGGAACUGCAUCCAAAACUGGCAAGCUAGAGUAGGGCAGAGGGUGGUGGAAUUUCCUGUGUAGCGGUGAAAUGCGUAGAUAUAGGAAGGAACACCAGUGGCGAAGGCGACCACCUGGGCUCAUACUGACACUGAGGUGCGAAAGCGUGGGGAGCAAACAGG
rnacentral:rRNA from 1 species